GGGCUACAUCUGCCAUCCGUGGCCAUUUGCAAAGACCCCAAAGACCCCCUGUUCCCUCUUGCCCCAUCAAUAUCUAUUUUCACGCACAGGCAAACACACACACACAUGCACCUCGUGAGACCUGGGAUCUGCCCUAGCCCCCUCAGUUCCCAAGUCAAACGACCACAACAUGCCACGGUGCUUGCUCAGGGGAAUCCAUGCUCCCUCUGCUAUCUUCCUAGGGCUUGGGAGCUCCCACUGAGCCCACAAUGCCACGGAAAUUCUUGUUGGCUGCCCCCUCCCCCCCAAAAGGGUCCUUCCUAGCUUGGAAGAGCUCAAAGCUGACAGCUGCCUCCUGCCUUGUCAGAGCCUCAGGGGCUCCAGGGCUGGGAGGGUAGAGUGAGGGGUGGGACUCUCCUCCCCCACCCCUGCUGCCCUCCCCCUUUUCACUGUUGCUUUCUAUGUAUAGCUCCCUAGAUCUUUCACUUUUUUAAAAAAUGCGUUUUGUGUAGAGAAUAAGGAACGUGGAUCUUUUUAUUUUGCAAUCCUGGGCCAGCUAGAUACCGGGAGCUAAUUGACCUUUUAACCUUUUCAGUGGCCACCUUUUGGUUAUCAAUGUACCUAGAAAUAUGUAAAUUAGAUUAAAUUUCUCUUCUG
rnacentral:lncRNA from 1 species